GAUGAACGCUGGCGGCGUGCUUAACACAUGCAAGUCGAACGGGAAAUAUUUCAUUGAGACUUUGGUGGAUUUGAUCUAUUUCUAGUGGCGGACGGGUGAGUAACGCGUGGGUAACCUGCCUUAUACAGGGGGAUAACAGUCAGAAAUGGCUGCUAAUGACGCAUAAGCGCACAGAGCUGCAUGGCCCAGUGUGAAAAACUCCGGUGGUAUAAGAUGGACCCGCGUUGGAUUAGCUUGUUGGUGGGGUAACGGCCCACCAAGGCGACGAUCCAUAGCCGGCCUGAGAGGGUGAACGGCCACAUUGGGACUGAGACACGGCCCAGACUCCUACGGGAGGCAGCAGUGGGGAAUAUUGCACAAUGGGGGAAACCCUGAUGCAGCGACGCCGCGUGAAGGAAGAAGUAUCUCGGUAUGUAAACUUCUAUCAGCAGGGAAGAUAGUGACGGUACCUGACUAAGAAGCCCCGGCUAACUACGUGCCAGCCGCCGCGGUAA
rnacentral:rRNA from 1 species